rnacentral:piRNA from 1 species
UGUGAAGAGGAAGCCUAGUAAGUCAAUGU